CCGGGAGGGUGGGCGUCAUGGCGGCUUCUGGGUCGCUCCCGGUGACCCAGGACCUGUCCACGUUGCGUGCCAAGUUGCAGGGGCUGCUGCGGUUCCUGACGGAAGCCUUGUCCAUUUCCAGUGCACAUACGGUGGACUUCUACACGGAGUCCGUGUGGCAGCAAGUGGUCGACUUGCCCCCGGCGACGGUGCUGGCGGCGCUGAGAUCGCCGGCGGAGGCGGAGGCCCAGCCCUCGGAGGCGCGCCUCCAGGUGGAAGCCGAGAGUGGAUCAGAUAUUACUGAUUUUCCAAAAAUAUUUUGUGAAACUUCCCAGAAGCUGGUGAGUGUGGAAGCCUUCGCUCUGGCUGCUAAAUAUUAUUCUGUACAAAACUUGGGAAUAUGUACUCCUUUUGAACAGUUGCUUGUAGCCCUUCGUGGAAAUCAAAAACAGAGAACUGAUGAAAAUGUGAAGCCAGAUGAGUUUAUGAAUUUGAAAAAAUCUCAUGAAGUUCAGGCAAUGUCAGAGCUCAUCAGCAGUAUUGCUGAUUACUGUGGAAUAAAGCAGAUAAUUGACCUGGGUUCUGGAAAAGGCUACCUAAGCUCCUUUUUGUCCUUGAAGUAUGGCUUAAAAGUUUAUGGAAUUGAUUCCUCAAAUACCAAUACUCAUGGAGCUGAGGAGAGAAACAGGAAACUGAAGAAACAUUGGAAAGUCUAUCGUAGGCGGUCAAAAUUAGAUGUCAAUGGACUGGCAUUACAAAUGACAAAAGAAAGGAAAGUGCAAGAUGAAAUUAAAUUUAAAGCCAAUAUUGAGGGAGUAUGUAACAGCAGUACUGCAAAUCAAGAAAAGAUGUCGACCUCGGACUUUCUGCAAGAUUUUUCAGGCUCUGUAAUUUCUAACAUCAGAAAACAAAUGGAAAACCUACAUGUUUAUUCACAUCGAGAAGAAAAUUUGUGUUUUGAAAAUGCCUUUUCUCUUAGGGACCUUUUGGCUAUUAAUGCCAUAGAACCUGCUUCUUCAUCCCAUAUACCCAAGAGAAAAAUGUCUGAAGCAAAUAAAGAGAGAAGAAAAAUGACGUCAAAGUCAAAUGAAUCCAAUAUAUAUUCACCUUUAACAUCUUUUAUCACUGCUGAUUCAGAACUACAUGAUAUUAUUAAAGAUCUGGAGGAUUGUUUGAUGGUAGGUCUGCAUACUUGUGGUGAUCUUGCUCCAAAUACUCUGCGAAUAUUUACUUCCAAGUCUGAAAUCAAGGGAGUUUGCAGUGUGGGUUGCUGCUACCACCUCUUAUCUGAAGAGUUUGAAAACCCACAUAAAGAAGGUACCCAAGAAAAGUGGGGAUUUCCAAUGUGCCACUAUUUAAAGGAAGAGAGAUGGUGCUGUGGCCGGAAUGCCAGAAUGUCAGCAUGUUUGGCACUGGAGCGCGUUGCAGUCGGCCAAGGGCUGCCUACUGAAUCACUCUUCUAUCGUGCCGUACUUCAGGAUAUUAUUAAAGAUUGUUAUGGCAUCACCAAAUGUGAUCGGCAUGUUGGUAAAAUUUAUUCCAAAUCCUCUUCCUUUCUGGAUUAUGUCAGAAAGUCUCUAAAGAAGCUUGGAUUAGAUGAGUCCAAGCUGCCGGAAAAAAUUAUAAUGGACUAUUACGAGAAGUACAAGCCUAGAAUGAAUGAGCUGGAGGCUUUUAAUAUGUUGAAAGUUGUUCUGGCUCCUUGCAUAGAGACAUUGAUUCUUCUGGAUCGACUUUGCUACCUGAAAGAGCAGGAUGAUAUUGUGUGGUCUGCGCUUGUGAAGUUGUUUGAUCCUGUGAAAUCUCCCAGAUGUUAUGCCAUUAUUGCACUGAAGAAGCAGCAGUGAUUUCAAUUGAAGCAAGAGAAUCCACCUCCAGUCUAGUAAAUGCUAAAAGCACAUAGUUUAACUGAAAUUAUGAACAGACACCGAAGGCCAAUUUAAACAGAUGUCAUAAUCAAAACAAAUUUUACCCCACUUACAUGUAGUAGUUAAUAGAUGUCAAAAUGGCCAGCUUGACAGGAAGAGAAGAAUGAGCCACUUCAGUUAUAGAUUUCCUGAAAUCCCCCCCCAGUAUUUCCUCUUAUGUGCAGUCCAAAGGUGUUGCAUAAGCCCCUUUCUGGCAAGUAGGGAUACAUCAUCAAUUUCUUUGACAGUUUUGAAAGUCUACUAUUCAAAUUGCUCUUUCACCAUUGCAGUCUCCAUGGAAGCUUCCAGUAUGUUAACAUAAUUCCAGAUUCACUAUUCUCAAGUGUGUUGGCAUCUGAGAGCUCUCUCUGAAGGAGUCUUCUUGAGUAGCCAGAUCUGUUUUAAAAAUUUUAGAGGUUACUCCAACUUUAUAUUUCUCUUAUAUACCUACAUACCAUUAUACAGAGUGUCCUUGGCAGCUACUCAAAUUUUAAAAGGUUUUUUAAACUCCAAAUGACAUGAUGGAUUAUAAUAAUGCCAACUAAAUAUUUAUUGGGUGCCUACUCUAUGCUAGGUGCUGUUCUAAGCACUUUGUAUUUAUUAACUUACUUCAUCUUUAUAGCAAUCCUAAGAGGAAGGGACUGUAUUAUUUCUUCUGCUUUACUGAAGGGAAAAUUGAAAUACAGAAAGGUCCAGCAACUUGCUGCAAGUUGGAGGAGGCAUGGGAAUGGUAAAGUCAAGAUUCAAAUUCAGGCAUCUGGCUUCAGAGUCUAACUGCUUAGCCACUGCAGAUACUGUCUUACUUCUUGAUUAUUUGAGGGUCUUCUGUGUUGGUCUUAAUUAUUUGGUUUCCUCUUGAGACAGUCAAGAUAUUGGUGGAUGCAUAAUCCUAUAAACUUCAAGUAAUUGAUGAUUUCCUGGUUAUCCUGCCUCUAAAGGAUAGGUCUCAUAAUCUACCAGUCAGAUGGAACUGUUUUUGCAAAUGGCAGGAAAAAUAUUUGUUUUUUUCCGAGACACCUAAAAAGAGUUUCAUUAUUAAGAUGAAGGGAAAUCUGUGUACAACUAAAAUCAUAAGUAAAGUGUUCUUGAAUUGUCUGCUCCAAGCAGUAAUAGAUAUUUGCUUUAUUUUUUAUAUUGGAAAAUUAAAGCUAAGAGUUAAAAUCACUUUUUCCAAAAUCAUCUAACUAAAACUGGGAGGUACUAAAACUCAAAAUAAAUGACAGUUACAGACAGUAUUCAUAGAAGGCCACUCAGUGACAUGUCUGGAACAAGACAGACAAGCCCAUUCUCAACAUCUCUCUUCUGGCUGACAUGUAAUUCCAACUUCAUAGCAGUGACUACUCUCAACCCACUUUAAUCCUCCUGCCUUCUAUAUUAAAAAAAGAAUAAGUAAGACCAGUUAUUGAAUUUCCCUAGCUUUUUGACAACCUCCAAUUCAAAACUGGACCUCAUGUUUUUAAAUACUCCCUACAACCAUGCAUUACAAGCCCAAAUCCUGUAGGAAGUUCCUAAAAACUCUCUCUUACUGAGACAACCCCCCAUUCUCCUGGAGUGCAUGCCCCCUGGCUGCGGUCAGUGAAAUAAAUCUAGUUCGGACUACAGUUUUGUUCUUAGUGCUCUUUGGUUGAUGGGCUAUAAAAGUUUCUAGAUUGUUUCUCUAGGUGGAAGGUGGUGCUAAAGUACACUGAAGAGCAAUAUUGGGGAGAAAACUCAAAAUUCCAUUUCAGCUAUGUUGAGUGCAGGAUACUUUUGAGAAAUUCAAGGAAUAUUAAAGAAGCACUGGUCUAAAAGGGUCUGUAGAACAAAGGGAAAGCAUGGAUACAAAUGUAGAAGUUAUCAACAUAUAGAUGGAAAUUGAAGCUAGAACAUGGAUGAGAUCACUCAGUGCAAAAAGCAUAGGGAGAAAAGAAUGGAGAAACAAACUCCAAUAUGAAGUUUCUGUAGAGAAGUGUGAACAGCAAAACGUGGCUGCGAAAGCACAUCCAGAGAUAAAGCAGAAAGACCAGGAGCAGAUCAUCAUGUGACUCAAGGAAGAGGAUAUUUCAAGGCCUAUGGAGUAACCAAUGGUUGGAAGCAUUUGAAAGAUCCAGUAAGAAUUGAAUGGGAAAAUUCCCACUGAAGUCCAUCAUUGACAUUUUUUGUGAGAGAUUUUUCAGAAUUUUGAUGGAAGCAGAAGCCAGAAUAAAUGGCCGAGGGUGGAGAAUUUACGAUGAGACGGAAAGGAGGGACCAGGGAGAAGGCUAACCCCUCUCUCCUCCACUCAGCCUCCCAGCCUCUCCUCAUGGUCCAUGUGAUGUGAGAAAAUAAGCAUCCGGCACUGGAGAGACUGGCAAGUGGUUCCUUGAGAGUUAACCAAGCUUCAGGGUGGUUUCCUCAUAUGUGUCAAUUCCUAUGAGAAGCAGUGGCUGAUAUUCUGCCCACACCUCCACCGCCACCCAGGCGAGGAGUAAGAACAUCAUCUAGGUGGCUGCCAUGUGGAGAGCACGGGAACAGUACAUUGCCACGCCUACUUCCUUAUCUGCCUGCAAUUCUGGGCCAAAAUGACUCAAAGGCAGGAACCAUGAGAAACACCAUUGAAUCUCCAGAUUCUGACAUGGAGCAUUGUUCAGUCUCGCAUGUUUAAUUAAGUGUUCUAAACUGAAGCAUAAAAGACACUCUGAAUGGACCUCUCAGGCUGGAGGACAGCCUAAGCAGUCUGCUGCCAUCUAACACACUAGCUGCUAGCCACGUGGGAUUAUUUAAAUUAGUUAAAAUGAAAUGAAUUAAAAUAAAAAGUUCACUUCCGUGCAAACAGUUCCAGACAAAUUUCAUGUGCUCACCGGCCACGUGUGGUCUGUGGCUAACCUAUGGAAAAUUCCCAUCAUCACAACAGUUCUAGUGAACAGUGCUGGUCCAGAUCAGGGUCAGAAAACUUUCUUCUUGUAGAGCCAGAUAUUAAAUAUUGUAGAGUUUAUGGGCCAACAGGCAAAACUGAGGUUACUGUUUAGGCACUUAUAUAACCAUUUGAAAAGUAGAUUUAUUUAAAAAUGGAAAAAACCUUCUUAACUUGCAGGCGGUGAAAAGCAGGCAGUGGGCUGGAGUUGAGCCAUAGUUUGCCCAGCGCUGGUGCCAGUCAUUGAGUCCUUUAUCCAUUAAGAACAUCUUUGUUGAACAGAUCUAUGUUUUAAGCGCUGGACUAAAUAUUAAGUUUAGCAUAGUGAACAAGAAACAUAGUCUCAGCUCUCAUGGAGUCCAGAACGUAACAGGAAAGGCACUACAACAAAAAUUACACAAUUAAUUAGUCAAUUAUUAUAAUUUAACACAUAAAAUGAAGGAGCUAAACAGGAUUUUAUGAAAGGAAGUAACAGGGGAACCUAAACUGGUGUAAAAGAUUGAGUGGAUUCUAAAAAUUAUCUGCAACUAACAUUUUUAAUGUAUAGCAACUAUUUAGACUUUCCAGCUGACCCAUGUGAAGAAAGCACUGUAAAAAUUAAUAAAUCUAGAUAAUAUUUCUAAGUGGGCUGAUAUUCAAAUACAUUAAUUCUUAUAUACCAUCUGUUUUAUAUGUGAAUGAUAGAAAUUAUAUUUGCUAAUAUCACAUUUACUGAUGUUUGGUAUUGUAUUUCCUCUACUAGCAUCUUUUAUUAGAAUAAAAGUGUAUAAAUUAAAUGCUUCCUUGUAACAAGAAAAACUUGCCACGGACUAACUCCCCAAAUGGCCCCAAUUUUCUAUUAAUUCUUUAUAUCAAAAUUCAAAUUGAACCCGUUAUUAAAGAAAACAAUGUGAUGCAUAUAAACCUAGGCUACUUUGACAGAUAUUUUUUAGAACAUAGGACUUCUUUUCAUUUAUGAGAACUCAGUAUACAUAAUCAGCACAACAAAACAAAAUAAAAAUAUACACUAUACUGUCUUCCCAUAUAUUGGCAGUGUUUCUCAAGAUUAUAUUUGAUUUUCUGAGGUCUUUAUGGCACUUUGCAGUUCUUUUAAAUGUGGCCUUUUUUAUGGUGGUGUCAAGAGCUUGCUGUAAAUCUAAAUAUUUAAUCACUGAGCACGUGAGAGAGGGAGUUGAGUGAGCUAAAUUGAGCACACAUCUUGAAUGACAAAUAGGCCAAACUGAAAUUGUUUAUAGAUUAAAUCAUGUGCCUUAUAUCUGCUUUGUUUCAAUAAAUAAA